rnacentral:rRNA from 1 species
GUAGCGGAGAAAUUCCAAUCGAACCCGGAGAUAGCUGGUUCUCCCCGAAAUAGUUUUAGGACUAGCCUCAAGUUAGAUACCUGGAGGUAAAGCACUGAAUAGCCUAGCGGCCGAGAGGUUAGCGAAGCUUAUCAAACUCAGAAUGCCAGAGUAUUGAUGCUUGGGAGUCAGACAGUGUCAGAUAAAUGUCAUUGUCAAAAGGGAAACAGCCCAGAUCUACAGCUAAGGUCCCAAAGUCAGGUUAAGUGGAAAACGAUGUGAAGAUACGCAGACAACCAGGAUGUUGGCUCAGAAGCAGCCACUCAUUCAAAGAGUGCGUAAUAGCUCACUGGUCGAGCGUCUUUGCGCGGAGAAUUUAACGGGGCUAAACCUGACACCGAAGCUUAGGCAAUACAGCAAUGUAUUGGGUAGGGGAGCGUUGUAUACGCGGAGAAACAGUAGCGCAAGCGGCUGUGGAGUGUAUAGAAGUGAGAAUGCCGGAAUGAGUAGCGCGAAUGCAGUGAGAAUCUGCAUGGCCGAAAGCCUCAGGUUUCUGGAGGAAGGUUCGUCCGCUCCAGGUUAGUCGGGAGCUAAGGUGAGGCCGAAAGGCGUAGCCGAUGCACAGACGGUAGAGAUUCCGUCACCACCAAAAGAGUUAAGCACAGGGACACAUUUGAAGUCUCAGAGCCGGGUGUUGGUUCCGGUAGAGAUCGAGGGAAGUUAGUACCGAAGUCUGAGAUGGAAGAUGGCGAGAAAAGCUGUGUGUAUUUCUGAGGUGCCCGUACCGCAAACCGACACAGGUAGGUAGGAAGAAGAUUCUAAGGCCAACGGGAGAAGGGUUGUUAAGGAACUCGGCAAAUUGACCCCGUAACUUCGGGAGAAGGGGUGCUCCAGAGAUGGAGCCGCAGAGAAUCGGCCCAAGCAACUGUUUACCAAAAACACAGGUUUGUGCUAAAUCGAAAGAUGACGUAUACGAGCUGACGCCUGCCCGGUGCUGGAAGGUUAAGAGGAGAUGUGCAAGCAUUGAAUCGAAGCCCCAGUGAACGGCGGCCGUAACUAUAACGGUCCUAAGGUAGCGAAAUUCCUUGUCGGGUAAG